rnacentral:rRNA from 1 species
CUACGGGACUCCUACGGGAGGCAGCAGUGGGGAAUAUUGCACAAUGGGCGCAAGCCUGAUGCAGCCAUGCCGCGUGUAUGAAGAAGGCCUUCGGGUUGUAAAGUACUUUCAGCAGUGAGGAAGGUGGGUAUGUUAAUAGCAUAUUCAUUUGACGUUAGCUGCAGAAGAAGCACCGGCUAACUCCGUGCCAGCAGCCGCGGUAAUACGGAGGGUGCGAGCGUUAAUCGGAAUUACUGGGCGUAAAGCGCAUGCAGGUGGUUUGUUAAGUCAGAUGUGAAAGCCCGGGGCUCAACCUCGGAAUUGCAUUUGAAACUGGCAAACUAGAGUACUGUAGAGGGGGUAGAAUUUCAGGUGUAGCGGUGAAAUGCGUAGAGAUCUGAAGGAAUACCGGUGGCGAAGGCGGCCCCCUGGACAGAUACUGACACUCAGAUGCGAAAGCGUGGGGAGCAAACAGGAUUAGAUACCCUGGUAG